rnacentral:rRNA from 1 species
UACAGGGGGGGCAAGCGUUGUUCGGAAUUACUGGGCGUAAAGGGUUCGUAGGUGGCCAACUAAGUCAGACGUGAAAUCCCUCAGCUUAACUGGGGAACUGCGUCUGAUACUGGAUGGCUUGAGUGUAGGAGAGGAAUGCGGAAUUCCAGGUGUAGCGGUGAAAUGCGUAGAUAUCUGGAGGAACACCGGUGGCGAAGGCGGCAUUCUGGACUACAACUGACACUGAGGAACGAAAGCCAGGGAGCAAACGGG